ACCUUGUCGGCGAUGUACUGCCACCUGUGCACUAGCUGGGUUGCGUUUUGUUCGGAAGUUCUUGUGACGUUGAAAACCGUCACGGUUUCCGGGACGGUGACUAGGUUUACUUUGAAGGCGAGGACAAUCCCGAAGCUAGUACCUCCGCCGCCUCUUAUGGCCCAGAAAAGAUCCUCCCCCAUUGAGCGGCGGUCGAAGAUUUUGCCGUCGGCGUUCAUUACUUUGGCGUCGACGACAUUGUCGGCGGCGAUUGCGUGCUUGCGUGACAUCAUGCCGUACCCUCCGCCGCUGAAGUGGCCGCCGACGCCGACGGUGGGGCAAACUCCGGCGGUGAAAGCUAGGGUCCUGCUUUUCUGUGCGAGGGUGUGGUAGAGCUGGCCGAGGGUGGCGCCGACUUGAACCCAGGCGGUUUUCUCGUCGGCGGAGAUUGUUACCGUGCGUAGGUUUCUAAGGUCAACGACGACGAAGGGGUUGUUCCGGGAAGUGGAGGAAAGGCCUUCGUAGUCAUGGCCGCCGCUUCUGACUCUGAUCUGCAAUCCGAGUUUCUUGGAGCAGUGAAUCGCCGCCCGGAUUUCGUGGUCGUAGAAAGGGGUGAAGAUGAGAAGAGGCUUGUUCGGAGUGGUUGAACCUGGCCGGAGGUUUUGUGUAAGGAGAAGAGAUGCGUACGUGGCAUUACUGGGGCUGUAAAUCGCAUCUGUUGCAGAGUUCGAGCUUUGUAACUGAACGGUGAGGCAUUCAAGAAAAUCAUGAUUGUUGUGAGUUGAAGAAGAUCCAAACCCUAAAAGUGUUGUGGAGAACAACACUAGUACUAGGGCUGAUGUAAUGUAAUUACUAGGUGACGUCAUUUUUUUUCUUCUUGGUGUUUGUGUUUCUGUGUGUUUAUUUAAUGGUGGAGGCUAAAACCACUUGUAUUUAUAGUAUGGUACGAGGUACUUUUCCAUGUGUCUCGAAGUUUCGCCACGUUUGAUUUGAUUGAAAAUUCAAAGCUCCAUAUCCAUAUGUUGAUUCUUCACGUAAAGAUGUAUCUUCAUUUUGUUACUUGCAUGGAUGACUUGGAUUAUUCACCCAAACAUAAUUGACUCCGUUUCGCUUGCAUUUAGGGUUUUACUUUUCUUACUUUUUUAAAUAACUGUAUUUCUUAUUUUAUUUUUAAGAAACAAAUGUAUUUUGGGAGAAAAAUUGAAAAAGAAUGUGAUGUUUGUUUGAAUUUUAGUAAUUUUAAUAAUAGAAAAAAUAUUUAUCUUAUCUUUUUUUUUUCAAAGACAAUAUUAUCGAAAGAUUAAACAAAACCUAAUUUUAAUUAGUUGGAGGAAAAAAUAAUAUUAAAAUAAGUAAAAACAAAUCCAAUGUUUUGAGCCGCCGCGAGUGGUCGUAUUGGAGGAAGGCCACAAAAGUCUCCGGUAGGCGACACGUGUUUAAAAUCAAAUCGUAAAUGGACGAUAACUUCCAUGCACACAUCAUUUAAUACAAGAAAUUAGAAUAAAAAUAAAAUAAUUAUUAAAUAAAAUAAUUAACCACUAGCAUGAAUUUAAGUACCAAUUGUCCUUGUAAUUAUUUUCCUCAAAAUUAAAUCAAGUCUCUGGAUAUAUAUCCACGACACGUAGAUUUAAUGUGAAUUAUGCGACUUUGAAAAAUCAGAAAGCCUAGAACAAUUGCGACUUUCGUGCAUGCAUGCGAAUUGGCAUAUCCAGUUAUAAUAAUUAACAUUAAUAAUAUAUAAAUAUAUUGGAAAAAGAAAAGGUUGAAAAACAAACAUGACUUUGCUUAAAUUUCUUCAAGAAUAAUAUAAUAUAACGCAGAAGAAAAUAAUUUUGAAGGAGGAAAAGUAAAUAAAAUGGGAACAAGUUUGGUUUUCAAAGGAAAUUUAAUGUUCAUGAAAUUAAUUAACAUGAUUAAUUCAAACCUGGAGUUCCCACAAUAUAAUAUUAAUUAAUUCAUGCUUCUAACAUUAUAAAUAGAACACAACAAUUCUUCCCAAAAAAAAACACACACAAACAAAUAAUUAUCAUCUCUUAAUUAUUAAUCAUGAAAACUCCAAGCAUUUCUACUCUUUCAUUCAUUCUUUUCGUUAUCUUUUCGUGCUCGUGUGCAUCGGUUUCUGCCGAUGGACACGAAGAUUUUCUCGAAUGUUUGUCCGAAGAAUUCCAUAACUACCCCUCGAUUUCCAACGUUACUUACACCCCAAUCAACAACUCGUCUUCUUAUUCGUCCAUCCUUCGGUUCUCGAUCCAAAACCUAAGAUUCACUUCCGAGUCCACCCCGAAACCGCUAGUGAUUAUAACCCCCGAACACGAAUCUCAAAUCCCACCGAUAAUCCACUGCGCGAAAGACAGCGAAGUUCAGAUCAGAACUCGAAGCGGGGGCCACGAUUACGAGGGUUUGUCCUAUGUUUCGCCAGUCCCGUUUAUCAUCCUCGAUUUGAUCAACUUCAGCGAAAUAACAGUUGAUGCCGUGAACAAAACUGCAUGGGUUGAAUCCGGUUCAACCAUUGGCUCUUUGUAUUACAGGAUUGCAGAGAAAAGCCCGGUUCUAGGGUUUCCUGCUGGUGUUUGCCCUACCGUCGGAGUUGGCGGCCAUUUCAGUGGAGGCGGCUACGGUAAUUUGCUGAGGAAAUACGGCCUGGCGGCAGAUAACGUAAUCGAUGCUCGACUAAUCGACGUUAACGGCAGGAUUCUCGAUAGACAAUCGAUGGGGGAGGAUCUUUUCUGGGCGAUUAGAGGUGGUGGAGGCGCAAGUUUCGGUGUGAUUCUUGCAUGGAAGGUACAACUCGUGGAUGUACCAGAAAGAGUUACUGUUUUCACAGUGCAGAAGACUUUGGAGCAAAACGCGUCUCGGUUAAUCCACCGAUGGCAAUACGUUGCGUCGAAAUUCGACGAGGAUUUGUUCAUCAGAAUCAUUAUCGCUAGGGCUAAUAGUAGUUCCAGCCAAACUGGAGGAAACAACGUAACUCUCAAUGCUUCGUUUAACUCGAUCUUCUUAGGCGGUGUCGACAGGUUGCUUCCUAUGAUGCAAGAAAGUUUCCCUGAGUUGGGUUUGGUGAGAGAAGACUGUACGGAAAUGAGCUGGAUCGAAUCCAUACUUUAUUUCGACGGGUUUCCAAUCGAAAACCGUGAAGUUCUGCUAAACAGGACUCAGCGUAGUGUGAGAUACUUCAAAGCGAAAUCAGAUUACGUGCAGACACCGAUCCCUGAGUUUGCGCUUGAAGGAAUCUGGCGACUGUUUUUCGAACCGGAAGCUGACGAGGCGGUGGUGAUAUUCAGCCCGUACGGCGGAAGAAUGGAUGAAGUUCCGGAAUCUUCGAUUCCGUUCCCACACAGGGCGGGAAAUUUGUACAAAAUCCAGCAUUUGGUGUACUGGGAGAAGGAAGAAGAUCAAAACUCCGGCAGGUACUUAAGCUGGAUAAGGAGGCUGUACGGUUACGUGGCGCCGUACGUUUCCAGGUUUCCGAGGGCGGCGUAUAUAAAUUACAGGGAUCUUGACAUUGGAAUGAACAGGAAUGAAGGGAGAACAAGUUACGCAGAGGCGAAUGUUUGGGGGAUGAAAUAUUUCAAGGGCAAUUUCGAGCGUCUUGUUCGGGUGAAAACAAUGGUUGAUCCACGGAAUUUCUUCAGGAACGAACAGAGCAUUCCGUCGCUUCGUGAGGAGAUCGACGACUGAAAGAUAUCAUAACAUGCAUGCCACGCGCGCGCGUGGAUUCUCACGUUUGCAAACCUACUAUAUAUAGAUAAUGCAUUUUUUUACUAUUUGUUUAUUUGAUUUUAAUUUCUUGUAUUUGUGUGUGAAUAAGCUAAGGCAUUGUAGUACUAUUUCUUUUAUAUGACUUGUAAUAAUAAUGAUUGUUGUAUAUGUACUAAAUAAAUUGUUUGAUUGGUGGAAAUAAAUUUUACUUUGUUUGACUUUUGAAAAAAUAUCAUAAUUUUUUCCUUUACUCAUUUUUGGAGUUAAAAAAAAAUCCAUUUGUUCGGAAGUGAAAAACUAAUUACAGUUAUAUUUUUCAUGGAGCAGUAGAAAUGUUUGUUUGAUGUUGGGAUACACGAAAAAUAAUAAAUAUCUAUAUAAAAUAUUAGAAAUUUGAAAAAUGUUUUUUCAUAACUCUUAUGCAGGAUCCGGGAACAAAGCGAGCAAAAUCCAUAAAAAAAUAGGUGAUAAUUAAAUUACAAUACUGUAAUCCAACAAUCAAUUUCAAAUUUGAAUACAAAUCUUGUGUUUAUUUGAAAAUCAUGACCAAAAGUAGAAGGUCUACAAGGGAAGCUCUAAUUGAACAUUUUCAACCGGAGCAAUUUCAUCAAGAAAUGGAUAGUCAGUAUAUCCAAUAACAGGGUCAUCAGUGUAAAAAGUCUCCCUAUCAUACUUAUUAAGAGGAGCAUUAAUCUCGAAUCUCUUCGGUAAAUCGGGAUUAGCCAAGAAAUGACGGCCAUAAGCAAUUAGAUCUGCUCGAUUUUCGUCAAUGGCUUUAUUACCAUCUUCCCUGUCGUAACCGCCACACGCAAUAAAAGUACCUUUAAAAGCCUCUCUCAUUGGCAAAAGGCUUUGCGGAUCACACUCCGUUUUUCCGAUAACAUCUGUCGCCGCCUCGAUUGAAUAAUAGUUUCUCUCGGUGAAAACAUAUUAAAUAAUUCACUCGAUAAUUCAAUAAUUCGCUAAAUUAAUAGAAUUUCCCUAGUCCCAACUAUAUUAAUUUAUAGAGGUUUAACUCUACAUAAUUAGGCGCACAAAAACUUUGUAUCAUUAUAUAAUUCGGCAGGAUAAGCAUUUUCAUAUAUAAAGAUCAUCGAUCUAUCGAUCGAUCGAUCGAUCGUUAAAUUGUGAAAAAAAACAAAGUAUUCUUGAAAACUGAGUAAUAUAAUGAAGAACCUGUGUUUGAAACCCUGCCAACAUGCCAGAUUUGGCAAAAGAAGAUAGCACCUUUGGCAUGAACUGCAUCUACAAUGGGUUUCCAUGCCUCAACUUGUUCCUUUGUCCAUAUUCCUGGAGAAUGUGUGUACCUUUUGAUAGGACCAAAAAAAUAAAUUAAUGAAAAAUGGAAAAUGAAAUACGAUACGAUACACGAUACAGUACUUUGUUAACUACUCUUUAUUACCCUUGUGCAGUGGUGGAAACUCCAGCGGCUUCGGCCACGAGAAACCCCCUUUCGUCGCCCUUUGUGAGUAGUACAAUAGAGCAUGUGGCUGAGGAAUGUUGUCAUAAGAUCUUUGCCUACUCAGGGGUGCCAAAACAAUUCUAUGAAACCAAAAAAAAUAGACAAAUUAAUUUCAGGAAAUUGUGAUUUACAGAUAUAUUCUUAAUUAAUUAGUAUGAAUAAGAUAUUACAUCAACUGGCGAGUUCCAGGAAUUUAUCUAUUAAUGGUGUUCGGAAUUGAGUAUAUAAAAAUAUAUACAUUCCAGUACUUAAUGAAAAUUAAUAAUCUUGUAAAACUGUCACCUUUAAAGAUCGAUAUAUAUUAACAUAAUAUAUAAUUUUUUUUAAAGAAAAAAAAACCCCGGAUCUUUAUACAGAUUAUAAAUGCAUAUAUUUUUCCAUCAAGAAAGUGAUUCAAUUGUUCACACUAAUGCAUGGGAAUGUUAGAUAAGGACAAAUGCAUAUUCCAGAUAUUUCUUAUUUGUUUGAAAGUGGCAGCUCGACAAUGCAAUUAUAAGCUACAUUAUAUUAUAGACUAAUUAAUAUCGUGACAACCGCAUCAAUUCGCAAAAUCGAGAAAAAAAAAAAAAAAAAAAAAAAAAAGAGUACCUAUGAGAAAGCUCGAAAUUCCCCAUUCGAUAAGGUGUGACAAGUGGGAUUUGCUGUUUCUUCUCUUGCUCAUUCUUCUCUUGCUCCUUCUUCUCGUGCACCUCCUCACCUUUGAUUUCCAUGUUUCGUUACUUCGAAGAUAACCGUAAAUUAUAUGCUUCUGUCGUGUAUGACUUGUGUAUGAUAUGCUCACAUGCACUAAACCUGCAUUUAUAGAGGGUAAGAUAAUUAAUAGAGGAAUUUUUUAUUUUUUUUAUUUUAUUUUAAUAAAUAAUUAUAAAGAUUAGAAGUAUAUGUUAGUAGGUGAAGUCACUGGGUAGGUAUGGCCUAUAAAAGCUGCUUGUUGCGUGAUAGCAAUAUAAUGGAGUUAUGUGCUAAUCUUGUUGAAGGAAAAUAAAAAUUAAUAUAUUAUUAUUGCUUUGCAUCAUGCAUGCAGAAAUAUGUUGGUGUAUUUAGGGGUUUAUAAGUUUGAAUAUCUAAGCUAUGUCACGUAUAAUUUUGUAUAGUAAUUUGAUUAAAGAAUUGAAUGAAUACUAUUCAUAUUUAUAAGGUUUUAGAUUAUUAUUAAUUGGAUGAAUUAAAAUAUACUAAUCAACAAUAACAAAAAUAAACUAUUAAAACAUAUAUACAGACGACUUUGUUAAAGGGGUUUGUUAAAGGAUUCAAUUUAAUUCCCUAUUGUGGAAAUAUACAAUCAAUAUUGAUACCUAAGAAAUAUACAAAAUUAGUAAAAACGUUGGUAGUUGGAAAAGUAAUGGAGUAAUAACUAAUAAUAAAAAAAAUGGGUACCAUUUGACCCAAAAAAAUAAAAUAAAAAAUGAUAAUUAAAGACCGUGUAUGGAUGAUAUGAUCAUCAACUGCCACAUCUCCAUUAGUACCACCUUGUAUUUUCUCCGACAUUAUUUAGUGAAUAUAACAAUUCCACGUACGUGUAGUAAUAAUAAAUAAAAGAAAAAGAGUGUCACCACAAUUAAUUAUGAAUGAUUAAUGAAUGACAAUAAAGAAGCAGCAAUAAAACAAUAAAAGCCUGUGCAGCACAAUAAUUUGAUUGAGUAAUUAAAUUCCAUUUAAAGUGUAGCAGUUGCAGGACCAAAUAUGGUUGAAUGGGGGUAAGCACAGCUGUCCAUGCAAUAUAUGCCGCCCAUUACAUCGUCUUGCAUAUUUCUUAGGUAUUGUAUAUUUAUUUAACAGACUUUGUUAUAAAAGCUAAUUAGGGCUUUGUUAAAAAGGCUUCAAUUUAAAUAUUUAAUUAUAUUUGCCUAGAACUCCCAUAAUUAGUUUACUAAAAUCUUUAUAUUAUUAAUUAAGGGCAAAUGGAAACACCCCUCUGCAUGCAUGAAUUAAUUUUAGAGCGACCGACGAAACAAGGAAGUUUAAUUUGGAGAAAUUGAAUUAUAUUAAAUAUGGAUCAUAUAUAUAUACAUGUAUUGGGAAUCGAAAACAUUCUUCUGGAGUAUAAUUUAUUGGGCUUGUUUUGUUAGUAAUGGGCUCCAUUUACAUAUUGCAUCGACAGCUGCAUGUGCUUAUCUUAUCAAUUCAACCACAUUUGGUCCCCGCAACUGCUACACUUUCAAAUGGAAUUAACUCAAUAUAUCGGAAGGGUAGGGUGCUCCUAAUUUCAGGGUUUCUGCUUGUUACAACUUCCGGCGAAACUUGUAUCGAAUAUCUGCCGAAGAAAAGUGCCGAUUGCAUCCAACUCACUACUUCCGUGCAAUCUUCCACUACUAGAAAAUCGCCGAUUAGCGACGGGCAUUGGCAACGUAUAACUGAUUCGUUGCUACAAUAAAGAUUUAGCAAUAGCAUUAGUGACGGAAGAUGAAAUCGUCCCUUUGGUGGUGUUACUCUGAUUUUAGCGACGAAUGUUUGCGACAACUGAUAAGUUUGUUUCAAAAGUAAUUUUCCAGCAACAAAUAUAGCGAUAGAAAAUAGAGUCGUCGCAAGUGUAGGUAAGUAGCAACGAACCCUAGCAACGAAUAUUAAGUCUAUUUCUAAAAUAAAUUUGUAGCAACAUAUGUUGCGACGACUAUAUAUUUGUUGCUAGGAAAAUUGUGUGGCGACGGAUCCGAGCAAGGAAUAACAAAUUUGUUUCUAAUUUGAGCGACAAAUUUAGUGACGGCUACUAUAAUCGUCACUUGGGUUUAGAAAAACCAGUUAGUGCUACAGAUAUUAGCAACGAAAACUAUAUCCGUGUCUAAGAUAAAUAAUUUGCAAAACUGUAGUGACGGAUAAAUGACUAACAAAUCCAUUUCAAAAAUACAUUAUUAUUAUUAUUAUUAUUAUUAUUAUUAUUAUUAUUAUUAUUAUUAUUAUUAUUAUUAUUAUUAUUAUUAUUAUUAUUAUUAUUAUUAUUAUUAUUAUUAUUAUUAUUAUUAUUAUUAUUAUUAUUAUUAUUAUUAUUAUUAUUAUUAUUAUUAUUAUUAUUAUUAUUAUUAUUAUUAUUAUUAUUAUUAUUAUUAUUAUUAUUAUUAUUAUUAUUAUUAUUAUUAUUAUUAUUAUUAUUAUUAUUAUUAUUAUUAUUAUCAUUAUUAUUAUUAUUAUUAUUAUUAUUAUUAUUAUUAUUAUUAUUAUUAUUAUUAUUAUUAUUAUUAUUAUCAUUAUUAUUAUUAUUAUUAUUAUUAUUAUUAUUAUUAUUAUUAUUAUUNNNNNNNNNNNNNNNNNNNNNNNNNNNNNNNNNNNNNNNNNNNNNNNNNNNNNNNNNNNNNNNNNNNNNNNNNNNNNNNNNNNNNNNNNNNNNNNNNNNNCAUGUUCAGGUGUGACAAUAUGAAAUUUCUUGAUAUAGAAGACGUAAAAAUUCAUCUAUAUAAGCAUGGUUUCAUCCCUAACUAUUAUAAUUGGAUAUCACACGGGGAGCCAUACGCAAAUGUUGUUUCCCCGCAGUUUUAUACUGAGAAUGAAAAUGAGGCAAAUGUUCACAAUACACCACCAAAUCCAUAUCGCACAAUGAUUCUAGAAGCAGCUGGGCCUAACUACAAUUUUGAGUUUGAUGGAAAUAAUUCUGAAAGAGAUGAGGCAGAGCUUCCUAAUAGUGACGCUAACCAAUUUUAUGAAUUGCUCAAGGCUACAGAAGAGCCACUGUAUGAGGGGUGUAAAUCACAUACUCCGCUAUCGGUGAUGUCUAGGUUGUUGAACAUUAAAUCUGAGUUUAAUAUGAGCGAGUCAUGCUUUAAUCGAAUAUUACAAUUGGUGAAAGAGCUUUUACCUGACAACACUAAGUUACCUAACGACUUUUACAAGACUAAACAAAUGGUUAGAAAACUUGGUUUAGGGUAUCAGAAGAUAGACGUGUGUCCAAAUGAAUGUGUUCUAUAUUAUAAAGAAAACCAAGAUUUGAAGGUUUGUCCUAUUUGUGGUCACUUCCGGUAUAAACCGAAAAGAAAGGGAGAAGCAAAGCAAAAAGACAUUCCUCAUAAGGUAUUACGAUACUUUCCUCUCACAUCAAGGCUUCAAAGAUUAUUCAUGUCCUCAAAAACAUCAGAACAUAUGACAUGGCAUAAAGAAAGUCGUCGAGAAAACGAGACCAUGAGCCAUCCAUGCGAUGGGGAGGCAUGGAAACAUUUUGAUAAAUCUUAUCCAUCCUUCGCUAUUGAGCCUCGUAAUGUUCGAUUAGCUCUUUCAUCUGAUGGGUUUAGUCCAUAUGGACAAAAAAGCCAUCCAUAUUCUUGUUGGCCGGUAAUUAUAACACCAUAUAAUCUACCUCCUGGAAUGUGUAUGACAACCCCUUAUAUGUUCUUAACUCUUGUUAUUCCUGGUCCGAAGAGUCCCGGUAAGAAAAUAGGAAUUAAUCCUUCGAAUGUUUCGAGAAAUUUGGUUACAAUAUUCAAGAAAUCAUUUAGCGGUCCCUGGCCUACAUGGAGCAGUGUUCCAAAUCAUGUCAGAGAUCGUUGGUUUGGAGAAUUUCAGGUAUUAUAUUUUGAAUAACUAAUAAUUAUUUAUUUAUUUAUUUCUUUAUUUCUUUGUAAUGGAUUAAUGCAAUCUCCUGUUUGUUUCUUCUAUGAAUAGUAUAAUUAAUUAUUUGAUGUCUUUUGUUUACUUUUUUGCUAUACGUAAGCUGGUAGAAAUUUAGAGUCUGGUAGAAAUUUUUUUUCAACUUUAUUAAUCUGCACUCGCAUGGAUUGAUUAAGUUACUUUCUCAAUUAUUUAGCUCAUUUUUUAAUUUGUAUGGUUUGCUAAAUUAUUAUUUUUAUUGAAUAUUUACAGAAGAUGUAUAAUUGGGCAGAGGAUGAUCGUUUGACAGUAAGAAGACAUUUUGAACGUAAAGGAAGUACCAACUUGAGCAAUUCUUUGAACAAAGCUAAAAAGCGAUAUAACGAGACAAAAAUAAUACCCAACUGGAUCAAUCGGAAUCAUUGGCAGGAACUGAUGGCUUAUUGGAAUACCGACAAAUUUAUAAAUAAAUCUGAAAUUAAUUCCAAUAAUAGAAAAUCAAGUAUAAAUGAUCAAGGCACAUCUUUGCACACAGGAGGAUCAAUUCCUAUUUCGGAAUAUAAAAGAAGAUAUGUAAGUAUUAAUUUUGUACUUUAUUCUUGAUAAUUGAAUUGUUUAAUCUCCAAUUUACUAUUUGCUCGUUUCUUUAGGUUAAAGAGAAAGGGAGAGAGCCUACUGCCUCAGAGUUAUUUUUGAUGACUCAUAAGACAAAAGGAAACAAUGAUUGGGUUGAUCGUAAAUCAAAGUGUGUAUGGGUAUGAUUCUUAUUUUAUAUUUUAUUUCAAUCACAUAAUGUUUAACGACUGCUGUUAAAAUCCGUUUUACAUUUAGAAGGACUGGUGUUUAGUAUUCUUCUUUAGUUGCUUGAAUAUGCUCCUUUGAACUGUACUGAUAAUGCAGUAAUGAACUGCUUGAAUAUGUUCUUUUGAGGUAUUGAUUUUUAGCGAAAUAUAUAUGAUUCUUCUAAUUGAAAUACAUUUGAUGUUGCUAAUUUUCUAUUACUCUAUUUUUUGGAUUUAUUUAUUAUCAAUUUUAUCGUAUCAGGAUAAAUUCUCGACAAUCAUCAAGCGAAGGCGUUUAGAUAACGAUGCCGAUGGAGAAGGAAAUGAGGAUACAACAAUAAACGAUGACGAGGAAGAAUAAGAUGCUAAUGGAGAUGAGGCCUUCAUGGAAAUGAUGCAUUCUCUACCUAAAGAAGUUGUUGAUAAUGCUUGGCUCGAGGCAACUGGAGGACCAAUUAAAGGAAGAGUUUAUGGUCUCGGAUCAGAGUCUGCUAAUGUUUUACAUAAUGUUAACUUUAUUUCUAAUGCUUCAACGAGUUCUUCAUCAACACCACCAGCGUCUUCUCAAAACAUGGUUGACAGUCCUACUUUCGAAGAAGUUGUUAAUCGAUUGGUGGAACAAAAGAUUGCAGAUAUGCGUGCAUCUUUUGAAGAGCAACUACAAGCCGGUAUCCAAGCUGCCAUUCAGGCCGUGCACCAAAGUGAACCAAGAGGAUCUACUAGAGAUACACGGUCAGCAACAUAGUUAUAGGAUAAGAUUAAAAUUAAUAUUUUUAGAGAAAGUUAUUUUUUUCUAGAACCUGAUGUUGCACAUUAUAUUGAUAUUGUUUAGCUUAAAAUAUUUUUUGAUGACUAGUUUUCAGUCUUGCACUUUAGUAUUGUAUCAAAUGUUCAUUUUAUGAGCAUAUUUGGAUGUUUUGUUUUUUGUUUUAAAAUAUUUUUUGAUAACUAUAGUUUUCAGUCUUGCACUUUAGUAUUGUAUCAAAUGUUUAUUUUAUGAGCAUAUUUGGAUGUUUUGUUUUUGGUAAAUUAAAUAUCUGCACAGGUUUUAAUAAUUGGUAAAAUGAUUUGGCUACAGCUUUAGCAGCGAAAAUUUCUAAUAAUGGUUGUGUAAAGUCACUUUUGGCGAUGAAAUUAGAAAUGAAAUUUGUGACGGAUUUUAUGUAUUUCGUGAUAGAAUAUUGCAAUGGACUUAGCUAUAGAUUAACGACGGAUUAUUUGCAACGUCCGUAGCUACGGAUUUGGCAACAACACAUUUUCGACGCACUUAGCAACAUAAUUAGCUACGGAUAUUAGACACGGACAAAUUUAACAUUAGUGAUGGAUGUGUUCGUUGCUAGUAUAGCGACAUAUUUUGGCGACGAACGAUAUUCAUUUCUACCAUAGCAACGAUAAUUAGCGAUAACUUUAGCCAUAACCAUUAGCAACAUACAUGUUUUGUAUUAGCGACAGACUAGUCCGUGACAACCGUAGCGACGAAGUGUAGCAACGAUCAUUAUCUGUUGCCACGUGUAGCGACGGCAUUUCAUCAAGUCGCAGCUAAAAUUUAGCGACGCGGCUUUUUUCUACAGAAUUGGCAACGCAUGGCAUCUGUCGCUAAUCACAAAUUAGCGACGGAUUUAUAUUGUUUAGCGAUGGAUGGUGCCGUAGCUAAUAGGCGAUUUUCUAGUAGUGUUCCCUUCUUACCCGCAAUUCUGGAAAGCUCUGUUCCAACAAUCGGUGGCGGAUCUUGCUAUGGUCUUGGGUGCAUGUGCAGUUGCACACCCUUGAUUUUAAAUAAAUAGUACUCUUCUUAUACAUAAAUUGACAGAAAAGGCAAUUAAAAUUUGCUUUUUUUGUUUUCUGGUAGAUAGAGAUCUUUCUUGGGUGAAAUUAUAUUUGGUGGAAUUAUUUCUGAAUAUUCUUUUUAAAUUUGAAAAUUAUAUAUUUCUUUUAUUUUUUAUUGUUCUGAACUCUUGAUUGUACCAAAUUUUAUGACAUAGUUAUUUUUAAUCUUAUACAUAUUAUGUAUUUCAAUCUUUUUAAUUGUUAAAAAUAUGAAAUAUUAACAAAAAAAAAACAUGCAUAAAUGUAAAAAAAAAGUAUUAAAUAUAGAUAAAUAUAUCAUAAAUAAAUAAAAUAAAGGGUAAAUUACAACUACCCCUAAAGUAUGGUCAAAAUACGAAAAAUCCCCUCAUGUUUGCAUAAUUACAACUAUCCCCUCAACUAUAUAUGAAUCUUCUUACACGUCCACCCUUAUGUUGUCAAAUUCAACAUAAUCUUCGAAAUUUCGUGGAAUGUUCUCUAGUUUGUACUCGUUUAAAUGCAUUUUCUGAUGCACCACAAUCUGAUAUAUACAAGCCAAAAAAUACAUCUUAUGAUCAUCUUGCUUCAAAAUGCAUGUGAAGUUCGAAUGGGAUAAAACAGUUACAAAAUUGAGAAUUAAUAUACGAUAUAAUCUAGAAGAAUCCACUAAAUUUGACACCGCAAAGGUGGUUAUAUUUAGCCAAACAAAGGGUUUUUUUUCUCGUAAUAUGAUCAUACAUCAGGGGUGGGUUGGUUGUUAUUUACCCUAAAAUUAAAAGAAAAAAUCAUCUACUAAUAAUAAAUAAACCAUAAAUUAAAAAGAAAGAAUAAAAGAUAAGUCAAGAGUAAAACACACGACUAAAUUGUAAAGAAGGAAUGAAAAGCUUAUCCAUUUAGCUAUCUCACCUUAGAAGCUACGCAAUGACAGACUACUUAAAUCAACAUUAAACAUUAUUCAUGAUGCAUGCAUGCAAACAUCUUUAUUAGCACCACUUAAUGAACUAGCUUAAUUCUGAUUUAAAAAAAAAAAAAAAAAAAAAAAAAAAAAACUACGAAAUCGAUCCUUCAAUCAGGACGAGUACACAGAUAUGGCGGCAUAGGGUGGAAUACUUUGCUCGUUUCUGAAAAAGUUUGUUGGAUCAACCUUAGUCUUGACACGAACUAAUCUUUGGAAAUUGUUCUUGAAAUAUUUCAUCCCCCAAACCCUAGCCUGUUCAUAGCAGGUUGUAGUAUUUCCAGCUGAGUUGUUAUUCAUCCCCAAAUCAAGAUCCCUGUAAUUGAUAUAAGCAGCUCUAGGGUUUUUCGACACGUAAGUGGCCAUGUAACUGUAGAGUCUCCUCAUCCAUUUUAUAUGCUUUUGAUCUCCUUGUUCUUCAUUAUUUCCUUUUGAAGAAUGCCAAUAUACACCAUACUCAAUUAUGAAAAUGUUACCGGAUCGAUGUGGGAACGGUGUUUCAGAUUCCGAGAAACUAUUCAGCACACCUCCGUAUGGGCUCAAUUCCAACCGACUUCCCAUUUCAUCUUCUUCGUGCAUGAAUCUCCAUAUUCCUUGGAGCCCAUCUAAUGGAAUUGGCUCUUGCACAUAGUCUGAUUUUCCUUUGAAAUAUUGUCUACUCGGGGGAGCUGUUUCUAGCAAAACGUCGAGGGGCUUGUUUUGCAGACCUGCGAAAAAGAGUACCGAUUCUAUCCAACUCAUUUCCGUACAAUCUUUCUCCACUAACCCUAGCUCUGGAAAUUGCUGUUUCAUCAAUGGCAGAAGAUCCUGAACUCCACCUAGGUACAAGGUUGUGAAAGAAGCAAUAACUGUCCGGUUUCCGGUGACCGGAGAUGUAACGCUUCUCAAGAAGAGUCUGAGCAGAAGAUUCUCGUCGACCUUGUCGGCGAUGUACUGCCACCUGUGCACUAGCUGGGUUGCGUUUUGUUCGGAAGUUCUUGUGACGUUGAAAACCGUCAAGGUUUCCGGGACGGUGACUAGGUUUACUUUAAAGGCGAGGACAAUCCCGAAGCUAGUACCUCCGCCGCCUCUUAUGGCCCAGAACAGAUCCUCCCCCAUUGACCGGCGGUUCAAGAUUUG
rnacentral:lncRNA from 1 species